rnacentral:rRNA from 1 species
CGUGUAGGCGGGAAGAUAAGUCGGGUGUGAAAUCCCUGGGCUCAACCUAGGAACUGCAUCCGAAACUGCCUUUCUGGAGUGAUGGAGAGGAAAGCGGAAUUCCCGGUGUAGAGGUGAAAUUCGUAGAUAUCGGGAGGAACACCAGUGGCGAAGGCGGCUUUCUGGCCAUCAACUGACGCUGAGACGCGAAAGCGUGGGGAGCAAACA